CGGUUAUUGUUUUCCAAGUGUUUGUUAUCGAAAGUGUUUGCAUUUUUGGCAGCGCAUCAAAUGUUCGGUUUUAAUUAUUUUACUGCUUUUCAAUCUGCCCAGCAUAAUAGGAACAAGUUCACAAUCGAGGAACUGGAAGAUCCGAGAGGCCAUCAGAUCCGGCGGAACAAAUGUAAAUACCGGUGGAACAGCCCUGUUCCGAUAACAUCAACUCGUCCAGCAGUGGAAAAAUGUUGUUCCGCAAUCGAAAUGGAACAGUAAGUGGCCAAAAAAAUGAGCCGCUCCUGCGUAUAACCACAAUUAUGUGCUAAGAAAAUGGGUUCCAGAAAAGAUAACACUUAUUUAUAUAUGAGCA